GAAAGUCCCCUUCGGGGGACGAGUAGAGUGGCGUCCGGGUGAGUAACACGUAGGUAAUCUACCUUCGGGUGGGGAAUAACGCAGGGAAACUUGCGCUAAUACCGCAUAAUGCAGCGGCACCACAUGGUGACAGUUGUUAAAGCGGGGGAUUUUCGGACCUCGCGCCUGAAGAGGAGUCUGCGGCAGAUUAGCUAGUUGGUAGGGUAACGGCUUACCAAGGCGGCGAUCUGUAGCCGGCCUGAGAGGGCGGUCGGCCACACUGACACUGACAUACGGGUCAGAGUCCUACGGGAGGCAGCAGUGGGAUCUUGCGGAAAA
rnacentral:sRNA from 1 species